GAGAGUAUAGCUCAAGUGGUAGAGCACAUGCUUAGCAUGCACAAGGUCCUGGGUUCAAUCCCCAGUACCUCCU
rnacentral:tRNA from 1 species